GCCAAAAUAAAGUUUCGCGAGUGACGUGUUUACCGUGCACCCAUCGAGUGAUUGGCGCGAUAGGUCGCCAUAUUCGCCGGGUUCAGUCCUCCACUUGCCGGCGGCCGAGCCACUUCGGCGCCAUUUUGGAUUUGUUCCUCCCAGUGUGCCACCUGCGCGAGCUCCAAUUUUGGGAUUAAAUGGGAUUACAGUGCCUUUAAAAGGGAAGAAAGAGAUUUGUACGCGGUGGUCAACUCACGGCGACCCACAUCACCGGGGGGACCCGUCCAGCGGCAGAAAACCAGCCAUUAGCAAGUCAACCUUUGCGAUCGGAACGUAGGAAGCACGGAGAGCCCCCAGAGGCUUUACUCCCGACUGCAGGGGACCGGAACGGGGAACCCUGAGAAUUUCUCCUGACAUUGGAGUGCAAAUCCGUGCGAGGAAGUCUGGAGUCAUUGAACCCGCGGCAAAGUUUGUUUUGGCCGUGACUUUGCUCACGUACUCUCCACGCAAUUACAAAAUAAAUAUUAAGUAACUUGAAAAGGUC